rnacentral:rRNA from 1 species
UUGUUGGGUGACUGCGUACCUUUUGUAUAAUGGGUCAGCGACUUAUUUUCAGUGGCGAGCUUAACCGAAUAGGGGAGGCGUAGCGAAAGCGAGUCUUAAUAGGGCGUCUAGUCGCUGGGAAUAGACCCGAAACCGGGCGAUCUAUCCAUGGGCAGGUUGAAGGUUGGGUAACACUAACUGGAGGACCGAACCGACUACCGUUGAAAAGUUAGCGGAUGACCUGUGGAUCGGAGUGAAAGGCUAAUCAAGCUCGGAGAUAGCUGGUUCUCCUCGAAAGCUAUUUAGGUAGCGCCUCAUGUAUCACUGUAGGGGGUAGAGCACUGUUUCGGCUAGGGGGUCAUCCCGACUUACCAAACCGAUGCAAACUCCGAAUACCUACAAGUGCCGAGCAUGGGAGACACACGGCGGGUGCUAACGUCCGUCGUGAAAAGGGAAACAACCCAGACCGUCAGCUAAGGUCCCAAAGUCAUGGUUAAGUGGGAAACGAUGUGGGAAGGCUUAGACAGCUAGGAGGUUGGCUUAGAAGCAGCCACCCUUUAAAGAAAGCGUAAUAGCUCACUAGUCGAGUCGGCCUGCGCGGAAGAUGUAACGGGGCUCAAACCAUGCACCGAAGCUACGGGUAUCAUCUUAUGAUGAUGCGGUAGAGGAGCGUUCUGUAAGCCUGUGAAGGUGAGUUGAGAAGCUUGCUGGAGGUAUCAGAAGUGCGAAUGCUGACAUGAGUAACGACAAUGGGUGUGAAAAACACCCACGCCGAAAGACCAAGGUUUCCUGCGCAACGUUAAUCGACGCAGGGUUAGUCGGUCCCUAAGGCGAGGCUGAAAAGCGUAGUCGAUGGAAAACAGGUUAAUAUUCCUGUACUUCUGGUUAUUGCGAUGGAGGGACGGAGAAGGCUAGGCCAGCCUGGCGUUGGUAGUCCAGGUUUAAGGUGGUAGGCUGAGAUCUUAGGUAAAUCCGGGAUCUUAAGGCCGAGAGCUGAUGACGAGUGUUCUUUUAGAACAUGAAGUGGUUGAUGCCAUGCUUCCAAGAAAAGCUUCUAAGCUUCAGGUAACCAGGAACCGUACCCCAAACCGACACAGGUGGUUGGGUAGAGAAUACCAAGGCGCUUGAGAGAACUCGGGUGAAGGAACUAGGCAAAAUGGCACCGUAACUUCGGGAGAAGGUGCGCCGGUGAGGGUGAAGCAUUUACUGCGUAAGCCCACGCCGGUCGAAGAUACCAGGCCGCUGCGACUGUUUAUUAAAAACACAGCACUCUGCAAACACGAAAGUGGACGUAUAGGGUGUGACGCCUGCCCGGUGCCGGAAGGUUAAUUGAUGGGGUUAGCGCAAGCGAAGCUCUUGAUCGAAGCCCCGGUAAACGGCGGCCGUAACUAUAACGGUCCUAAGGUAGCGAAAUUCCUUGUCGGGUAAGUUCCGACCUGCACGAAUGGCGUAACGAUGGCGGCGCUGUCUCCACCCGAGACUCAGUGAAAUUGAAAUCGCUGUGAAGAUGCAGUGUAUCCGCGGCUAGACGGAAAGACCCCGUGAACCUUUACUAUAGCUUUGCACUGGACUUUGAAUUUGCUUGUGUAGGAUAGGUGGGAGGCUUUGAAGCGUGGACGCCAGUCUGCGUGGAGCCAACCUUGAAAUACCACCCUGGCAACUUUGAGGUUCUAACUCAGGUCCGUUAUCCGGAUCGAGGACAGUGUAUGGUGGGUAGUUUGACUGGGGCGGUCUCCUCCUAAAGAGUAACGGAGGAGUACGAAGGUGCGCUCAGACCGGUCGGAAAUCGGUCGUAGAGUAUAAAGGCAAAAGCGCGCUUGACUGCGAGACAGACACGUCGAGCAGGUACGAAAGUAGGUCUUAGUGAUCCGGUGGUUCUGUAUGGAAGGGCCAUCGCUCAACGGAUAAAAGGUACUCCGGGGAUAACAGGCUGAUACCGCCCAAGAGUUCAUAUCGACGGCGGUGUUUGGCACCUCGAUGUCGGCUCAUCACAUCCUGGGGCUGAAGCCGGUCCCAAGGGUAUGGCUGUUCGCCAUUUAAAGUGGUACGCGAGCUGGGUUUAGAACGUCGUGAGACAGUUCGGUCCCUAUCUGCCGUGGACGUUUGAGAUUUGAGAGGGGCUGCUCCUAGUACGAGAGGACCGGAGUGGACGAACCUCUGGUGUUCCGGUUGUCACGCCAGUGGCAUUGCCGGGUAGCUAUGUUCGGAAAAGAUAACCGCUGAAAGCAUCUAAGCGGGAAACUUGCCUCAAGAUGAGAUCUCACUGGAACCUUGAGUUCCCUGAAGGGCCGUCGAAGACUACGACGUUGAUAGGUUGGGUGUGUAAGCGCUGUGAGGCGUUGAGCUAACCAAUACUAAUUGCCCGUGAGGCUUGACCAU